rnacentral:rRNA from 1 species
CCCUUAGAUGUUCUGGGCCGCACGCGUGCUACACUGAGUGGAUCAGCGGGUCAGGUUGCGCGAAAGUGUUUCCUAAUCUUUAAAUCCGCUCGUGAUGGGGAUUGACGGUUGCAAUUUUCCGUCAUGAACGAGGAAUACCUUGUAAGCGCGGGUCAUCAUCCCGCGCUGAAUACGUCCCUGCCCUUUGUACACACCGCCCGUCGCUCCUACCGAUUGAGUGGUCCGGUGAGGCUUUGGGAUCUGGGCGGAAAGAGCGUUUCGCUGUUUCUGCCCGGAAAACUCAGCCGAACCUUACCAUUUAGAGGAAGGUGAAGUCGUAACA